ACUCCCUGCCAGCUCUUUGGAAAGUUGUGUGACCUAUGAACCAAUUCUUCUCUACAUGAGACUGUACUGUACAUCACAGUCUGUCCAGCAUUGACCCCAUUCAUGGAUGCCAGUAGUGCUUCUGUGCAGCACUCAACAUUGUGACAGCCAAAAACAUCCCCUCUACAUUUCCAAAGCCCCUGUCGGGGUAGCAGGACUCCCACUGAGGGACCCUAGUAGAGAUGGUCCCCAAGCAUGCUAACCAUGAAGCAGUGAUACAGCACAGCACCUGCUUCCAGCAGCCCCGAGCCAAGGGGCAAAAUGGAAAGAGUCAGCAUUUCUCUUUUAGGUUCUCUGCCUCUCUGAUGUGUAAGCUUUUAACCCCCACUAUGCACCUUCAUUCCAUUCGCUUCCAGUAUCCAUUUUAGUGAGCUUCUGUUGUUUCUGCCCCAGAAUAUCUCUAACAAAGAACCAAGAGAGGUAUCAGGAGAACUUCUCCCCCUUGCCUCUCAGUCCUUGGGGAUCUGAUGAAAUGACACUUCUUGGACUAUGGAGUGGAGCAAGUGAGUCACACCUGGGCCAAUCAUUUUAUUGUAUUUCAUGACCACAUGGCCAAUUCAGGGAUGGGAACAUGACCAGGUGGAACCUAUGAGAGGCAUUGAGAUCUUUCCAGGUGCUUCCAGGAAACAGGGUCUUGCUUUCCCCUCUGUAUUGUACACCUGAGGUGUGUGGCUGAAGCUGCUACCAUCCCCUUGUGACCACAGGAAGCUGGGAUUAAUUCCAACAAUGCGAUUGGCAGAUCUGAAAGCUCAGAACAAAAAGACAAAAAACCUGUGUUUCAAUAACACUAUAAAUGAGCCCUAAAUCCAGCUAUGCCGGGAGCCAGUCUUACCAUGGAGUUUUAACCUAAGCUGGUCGAUAAAUUACCUUUUUGCUUAAGGCAAAGUUGUGGCAGAUUUUCUGCCACUUCCAAGGAGAAGACAGAUACACCCAAGAAGCUCCUGUUCUUUCUCAUUAACCCGUGUUAAAACCCAUUUUCAGGAAAGGAUUGCCCAUUCUAAAUUCUGAAUAAUGAUAAUGCGUCAAAGUAUGACUCCUUCAAGACAGCUUUCAGCGUUCAGGAUUUGUCCAGCAAAUAUUUAGCCCCUUCUGAUGCAAAUAGACAUGGCAGUGUAUGCUAGGAGCAGAGUGUAGCCAAGCUUUCCCGUCAAACUCAGUAUUUCAUUGCCUAAUUUUGGCCAUUCAGAUAAGUUCCAACUUCUAAGAAUGGCAGAGUAAAUUGUAUCUAACUAACCCUUCUGCCAAAGACAAUGGUCCAUUCUGGACCCAAACACAGUAAUAACAACAAAACCUCUUUGAAGGUUGAAACUGGCCAACGUGGUUUGGUUCUGCAGACAAAAACUGAGGGAGACAUGAGCCUCGAAAAAAGGAAAUCAUAUGGAGUGAGAAACACAUUUGUCAGGUUUUCCUUUGAGAGCACUGUCCAUUUUCUGCAGUGGACAGAGGCAGAGCUCAGCAGAAAGUGACAGUCCUACUGAGCUAAAAAGUCAGAGGUUAGAAUUUGGGGCUUCCACAGUAGCGGGAGAUUGGGAAAAAGGGAGUCUCACAAAGGAGGGAGUCUUAGAUGGGGAGUUCCCAAAUCUGUGUACAAACUUCUCUGACUCCUAAACUGUGCAUCAGGAUGAGGUUCAAGGAGCUGAGGGACAAAUAACAGCUAGAAGGCUAGAAAGAGGGGUUGUCUUGUGUUGAGAAGAUGACGCUAAGGGUUUAGUUCUCACCAGGUUAGAGGGGUCUGGAGAACACCUAAGGCUUUCCACUGAGACCACAGAAGGAGUAAUGAUUAUGCCCCAGGACUAAAGUCUAUGACCUAAGAAUAAAGGCAAAACCAAAAUAGGCCCAUUCUGACAAAGCCUAAAACCAACUCUUCAUAGCCAGAUUAUGCAAUAUAAUAACCUCUGGGCACACAUGGCAUUUCAAAUUUAAUUAAAACUAAGUAAAAUUUAAAAUGUAGCUCCUCAGUCACACUAGUCACAUGUCAAAUGGUCAUAGACAAAUGUGGUUAAUGGCCAUUAUAUUGGACUGCACAGAUUAUAGAAUAUUUUUAUCAUUAUGGAAGUUCUAUUGAAUGGCAUUGCUCCAUAGGAUUAAGAAACUAUACUAGUAAUUUAACUAUUUGCUAGAACAAAUGUCAAAUUUCUUCUAAGGAAGAGGGCAGACUCCAAAUUCUUUUUAAUAUCAUUGAAAAUGCUCAGCAUACGAUUUUAAAAAGCACUAAUUGUUUAAAGAAUCAGGAAAAUGUAAGCUACAGUGAAGAGAAACAAUAGGCAAUAAACACAGACUCACAAGUGACCCAGAUGUUAGAAUUUAAAAAGACUUAACAACUAUGAAAAAUAAAGAGUCUUAGGAAAAUAUAUCUGUAGUAGGUGAAGAAAUGGAAAAUUUCAAGAGAAAUGUGGAAACUUUA